rnacentral:misc_RNA from 1 species
CACACAGUGUCAAAACCUCUCUCUCUCCUCUUUCAUGGCCGAAAUUUCUCACUUUCACUUCUCUCUCUAUACUUCUGCCUUAUGCUCCUCAGCCAUGGCUAGAACCCUAGCCGCUACUCCACGUUAACUCUGUCUUUCCCUGCAUCUUCAUCUGUUAAAUUUAACGGAAGAGUUUCAAGCUCAAUUUCAUGCUCCCUUCCUCUAGCUACCUCGACUUCUCGUGCCUGUACGCUCAAAUGCUCUGCCUCGGCGUCUCAAUCAUAUGCCUAUCAAUCAGAAAAAUUUCUAGAAGCUUCCAAGAAGGGAAAUUUAAUUCCUUUAUACCAUUGCAUAUUAUGUGAUCACCUCACUCCAGUGCUUGCUUAUCGCUGUCUGGUUAAGGAAGAUGAUAGAGAUGCUCCAAGCUUUUUAUUUGAGUCAGUGGAGGNNNNNNNNNNCACUAUUGGGCGAUAUAGUGUUAUAGGAGCUCAACCGAGUAUAGAGAUUGUGGCUAAAGAGAACAUGGUUACAAUUAUGAACCAUUAUGAAGGACAGAGGACA